rnacentral:rRNA from 1 species
GAUGAACGCUAGCGGCAGGCCUAAUACAUGCAAGUAGAACGGUGUCUUCGGACAUAGUGGCGCACGGGUGCGUAACACGUAUGCAACCUACCUUACAUUGGGGGAUAGCCUUUCGAAAGGGAGAUUAAUACCGCAUAAGACAGUAACUAGGCAUCUAGUAGCUGUUAAAGAUUUAUCGAUGUAAGCUGGGCAUGCGUCCAAUUAGCUAGUUGGUGAGGUAACGGCUCACCAAGGCAAUGAUUGGUAGGGGAACUGAGAGGUCAAUCCCCCACACUGGCACUGAGGUACGGGCCAGACUCCUACGGGAGGCAGCAGUAGGGAAUAUUGGGCAAUGGACGCAAGUCUGACCCAGCCAUGCCGCGUGCAGGAUGAAGGCGUUAUGCGUUGUAAACUGCUUUUAUACAGGAAGAAACGACUCUUGCGAGAGGCAUUGACGGUACUGUAUGAAUAAGCACCGGCUAACUCCGUGCCAGCCGCCGCGGUAAAAC